rnacentral:rRNA from 1 species
AUGUCGGUGUCGCUCACGCUCCUCCUUGCGUACUUCAUCGACUGCUCAAAGUGAGGCGCCUUUAUCUCAGCCACCUCCUCCUCUUCCUGCCCGCCGUCCACCUCCAUGGUGUCUUUCCCCAUCCUCUGCCUCUCCAUGUCCUUUUCAAUGUCUUCUCUGAUGGCGUACUUGCACGCCCUCUGGCAGAUCUCCAUGAUGUCUGCACCGCUAAAGCCGGCGGUGAACCUUGCGAGAGCACCGAGGUCCACGUCCUUGACCAUGGGAGACUUCCUGAGGCAGGCCUUGAAGAUCUAG